CUUGACGGUGUCCCAACCUUCCUAGAGGAGCCUGUUCCAUAAUCGACAACCCACGAUAUACCUAACCACCUUUAGAAUAUAACUCAGCCUAUAUACCGCCGUCGUACAGCCUACCUUUUAAAAGACCAUAAGUAAGCGAAAAAGUAAAAUACUAGUAAGUCAGGUCAAGGUGUAGCUUAUAGGGUGGAGGAAAUGGGCUACAUUGUUUAUAUUAAACAAUACGAAUUUAUCUCCAUGAAAAAGAAAAUGAAGGCGGAUUUAGCAGUAAUUUAAACAAGAAUAUUUAAAUUAAUAUUUAGCUCUGGGACAUGUACACACCGCCCGUCACCCU
rnacentral:rRNA from 1 species